rnacentral:rRNA from 1 species
GACGAACCGUGCGAACGUUAUUCGGAAUCACUGGGCUUAAAGCGCGUGUAGGCGGGAGGGAACGUCGGCCGCUGAAAUCCCCCGGCUUAACCGGGGAAGGGGCGCCGAUACGGCCUUCCUGGAGGGACGUAGGGGGAGCUGGAACUUCCGGUGGAGCGGUGAAAUGCGUUGAGAUCGGAAGGAACGCCCGCGGCGAAAGCGAGCUCCUGGACGUCUGCUGACGCUGAGACGCGAAAGCCAGGGGAGCGGAACGGG